CUGCUCUCCUGGCACUCUGCUACACAGCCAGAGCGUCCGUGAGCCACAAGUGGAUGUCCCGGCUGUGAGUAGCGUGCAGGGAAUGGAGGAAG
rnacentral:ncRNA from 2 species